CCAGCUUUCAAGAGCUGUCACCAAUGCUGAGCUUUUGGUGUUUGCGGCUUUCUUCAGUCGUUUCUGCUCCUGUAACCUCAACAAACCUCAUUGGUUCACCAAGCUGGACUUUGGUAGUGUGCUGGAUAGGUUCUCACCCUUGCUUGAGUUCCUGUUCUGACUUCUUUCGAGGAUGAACAGCGAGGUGGCAGUGUAAGCCAAAUAAACCCUUUCCUUCCCACCUUG